GAGCCCGCAGCCCCAGCUAGGCUUCCCCACAGCUCAGCGACGAGGGGGGCUGGGCAGCUCGGGCGUUCCUCUCAGCCCCUGUCUAGACUAGGAGGAGAGAAGGCUCAGUCACCACCCAACCUAGCGCCUCUCCCUCGGGGGGAUUCCUCUGCCACUUCCUGCCUUUCCUCUCUCCUGGCAGUUGGCAGCCAGGGGGGAGAGGGAGAUAUGCCCUGCAGUGAUAGCCAGGUGGUUUGCUGCCCUGUGCCUAUGCAAAUACCACUCUGUCCAGCCUCCCCUCCUCAGGGAAGGAAUAGACUGUCAUUAUGCUGCUGCCACUCCCAAAAAUGUGCCCUUUUAUUAUAAUGAAUGGAAGAAAGAAGAUUGGCCUGAGACCAUAGAAAGCCGCUGCACACAUAAAACAGGGGUCCAUAUAGUUUGGAUAACAGCCUGAAAUCUGUCCCCACUUUAAAUCCUACUUCCAUUGUGGGGAGUCAGUAAUUGGCCAAUUAAUAAUGCAUAGACUGAGAAGCAGUUGGAUGUCACUGUUCAGCUUGUAUGAGUCCGGCCAAAUGUAAAUAAAAAUUAUACAUAUUUAGCCUGUAUCCCUCUCCUCCUUCCUUCAUAUGUUGCUUGUCUUCUUAAUCCCCAGUCCAUUCAGAGGGACUGUUUGUAGAGCGUAAAGUUAAACUCAUGCUAACUAAAUACCUGCCAUUUUUGCAGGUUGGAGCCUUAAAGUUAAGCUGUUUGGUACAGGGACUGCGUCUUCAUAUCUGUGUGUGCGGACAGUGUUCUUGGGCAGUGGUUCUCAAUGGGUCCGCAGCCCCUUGGGGGGCCAUGAGCAGGUUUCAGGGGGUCUGCCAAGCGGGGCCGGCAUUAGAUUUGCUGGGGCCUAGGGCAGAAAGCCCAAGCCUGAGUUCUGCCACGCAGGGCUGAAGGAGUUGAAGCCAAGCCCCACCGCAUGGGUGGAGGAGCUGUGUUGCUGUACAGGUCGCCUGGGUGGCUGGCUGGUGGAGGGGCUGGGGCUGUGCAGGUCAGCCAUGACGUGGAUGAAAACAAAGUGACCAUGACAUGUGCAUGUCGAAGAUACUCUUCAUGUCCUGACAACUAUUGAUCAGCACCAGCAACAAGAUUCAGACUGAAACAUUUCUGUGAAUCCACCUGUUCCACAAGAGCCUACGAUUCCUAGUCAUGGACCAAGACCCCAUUGUGCUAGGUGCUGUACAAACAUGAUGAAAAAAACCAACAACAGUUCCUGGCCCAAGAUGCUUACAAUACACGUACAACUGGGGCUGACUUCAGAGGCCUGGUGCCUCAAACAAGAGAAGGCCUGUGCUUUGAAGACACCUCUACUAAGCAGUGGUCUGGCAAGAACUGAAAAUGGCAAUGGCGAUGGAGGUUCCUGAACAACCCUCCCUCCCUUUGGGUAGUGUCUGGAGAUGGAGAACUUCAACUUAUAGACCCAACAUAUGCCGACUUUAUGACCCUCUUUGUCCCCGUGUUCCAGAGCCAAGUUGAUCAGCUAUGUACAGUUGACUGUCUUUGUGUCAUGACCCAUAGGUCUCGAACCUGGAUCUGCAGGAGCAGCCAGGCUCCGACCCUCUACCUGGCAGCAUACUGACAGCUGCUUACUUAGGACCUACAAAGCUCAGCCCCAGUUUGAGGCUCUGCUGCUGAGGUCCUAUUGGCAGAGUGUCAGAGCAGCAGAUUGGCUCACAGGCCUUACUUAAGCCAGCGGCAGGAACGGGAAGCUGUUUGAACAGCUGAGCUCCACCCUGCUCUGGAUUGUGUGCCAUCCCACUCCUACCCCCACUCUCCUAGCUUGACUUCGGGCAUCUGAUUUGUGGUUCCUGACCUCCAGUUUGUCUCCUGCCUCUGACCCCUUCGUAUCCUGACCCAGCCUGACUCUGGUUCCUGACUUGUGGUUCUGGUCUCCUGGUACCCUGACCCUGCUGACUCGUGACUUGUGACUGUGGACUCUGGCUCUGACCAUUAGGUCUGGCUGCCCAUGGCCCAGCCAUCACAUUUAUUUGUAACUUUUCAAGAGUGUUGCUCCACAAUGCAAUAUCAUCAGCAAAGUCUAGGUCUCCUAGCAUUUGCCAUCUACCCAUGCAAUACCAGUGUCUAUGUUGCUAAUACACUUGUUCAUUAUUCACACUUUGGCAAUGCCAAACAGCAGAAAUGAAAUACAGCCCUGUUUCACUCCAGUGUCUGUGUUGAACUACUCUGUUAAACAUCACACUUGUCCAUCUGCCCACUGAAAAACUAUGUUUCU